GGGACCGUAGGGUAGUGGUAUCCUCGGACGUUUGGGACGUCUGGACCUGAGUUCAAUUCUCAGCGGUCCCA
rnacentral:tRNA from 1 species